rnacentral:rRNA from 1 species
CCUACGGGAGGCAGCAGUAAGGAAUAUUGGACAAUGCUCGCAAGAGUGAUCCAGCCAUGCCGCGUGCAGGAAGAAUGCCCUAUGGGUAGUAAACUGCUUUUGAACUAGAGAAAACCCCAGUACGUGUACUGGGCUGAUAGUAUAGUUAGAAUAAGCAUCGGCUAACUUCGUGCCAGCAGCCGCGGUAAGACGAAGGAUGCAAGCGUUAUCCGGAUUCAUUGGGUUUAAAGGGAGCGUAGGUGGACUUAUAAGUCAGUGGUGAAAUCUCCGAGCUUAACUCGGAAAUUGCCAUUGAUACUGUAGGUCUUGAGUACAGUUGCUGUGGGCGGAAUAUGACAUGUAGUGGUGAAAUACAUAGAGAUGUCAUAGAACACCGAUUGCGAAGGCAGCUCACAAAGCUGUAACUGACACUGAGGCUCGAAAGUGCGGGGAUCAAACAGGAUUAGAUACCCUGGUAGUCCGCACCGUAAACGAUGAUUACUCGCUGCUAGGGGGCAACCGUUUAGUGGCUUAGACGAAGACGAAGUAAGUAAGUUACCGACCGUCGGGGUUAGGUUACGGUACCGGGCCGGACCGGGUUACGGAAACCGUUACCGAAACGUUAGAAGUUAGUUACGGCGUUGGAGACGUUGCCGACGGACGACCGACGAGGGGAGGUAGG